rnacentral:rRNA from 1 species
AUACGUAGGUGGCAAGCGUUGUCCGGAAUUAUUGGGCGUAAAGCGCGCGCAGGCGGGAAAUCAAGUCCGAUUUAAAAGUGCGGAGCUCAACUCCGUGAGGGGUCGGAAACUGAUUUUCUUGAGUGCAGGAGAGGAAAGUGGAAUUCCCAGUGUAGCGGUGAAAUGCGUAGAGAUUGGGAGGAACACCAGUGGCGAAGGCGACUUUCUGGACUGUGUCUGACGCUGAGGCGCGAAAGCCAGGGGAGUGAACGGGAUUAGAUACCCCGGUAAUCCUGGCCGUAAACGAUGGGUACUAGGUGUAGGAGGUAUCGACCCCUUCUGUGCCGGAGUUAACGCAAUAAGUACCCCGCCUGGGGAGUACGGCCGCAAGGUUGA